AUGACUGAUAUGAUAGAUUAAAUGUAUUCUAAAAUUUCUCUUAUUUUGCAUGCUAAAACUACCGCAUCGAUUUUAUUGUACCAUCAAUAGUAUCUUAUCAAUAUGCUGUGUGCAUUUUACUCAAAGAUUGAAACACAAAUUGAUAAUACUGUUUUUUUUCCAAUGAAUCAUUAGUUAUUUGAGCACUAGUUCAAGGAAAUAAAGUUGAGCAGUCUCUCUCAAGCUCUCACGUCCAUUAUCCAACAGGCAACAAACCAUGGCUGAAUAAUUGAAGUUCUUGGAUACAUCUCACGUUCUAACUAAAUAUCAUAUCGUGCCCCAUCAUCAUUUGCUUGCGUAAAACGUGUCAUUUCUAGCCUCUUAACUUGCAUUAAUUUCAUUCCCGAGAGAGAGAGAGGAGGGGAAGGGAAAAAAAAAAAAAAAAGACACUUACAAUAGUUAUUCCUACAAACCCAAGUUAGGAUUUUAUUAACCCUAAACGCAAAACCCAAAAAUCUGCUAGGGUAUCCCUUCACGCAUGCAGAGCCAAAACACAGCCGUAUCCCCAACAAGUGUCACUCAUCCAGAGCCCAAGACAUAUUGUCGUUGUUCUUCAUUACAUGCAUUUAGCCAAAUGUUAUUCAGAGUAAAAGGCCUAAAGGUUAAAGGAGACUUCACGCUAUGUAAAUUAUGGCUCAUGCAAAAUCAACUUCACCCACGUAAUACCUAUACACUGAACACGAGUCACUGCCACACUGUUACUCUCUCAACGUGUCCUCUUCCUUCCGCCACGUAACCUCACGCCACCCUUCCCAGCCACGUGUCCUUCAUUAACCCAUGUGAUCUAUCGGCGUGUCCCCGCUUCGGGUUCCGUUACUUAAUCUUUUCGUUCUGGUUUUCCCGCAAUAUUGUUCGCCUAGGAAAGGAGGAAAAAUGAAAACCAACGCCUGAGACCCCAGUUUUUGUACUUUGUAAGACGAAGAUGACCUAACUUCAGUACUUAACCCUAGUUCACUUACUGCUCUAACUAGGGUUACUCUCGUGAUUGCCUUGUCUGGCACGUGUCACUUCACUUUAUCCUCUUGUCAACUUCACGCACCAUAUAUAGUAGUACAAUUGCCUGCCAGCCAGAUCAUAGCGCGUGGAGCCCUAUUCUCUUUAGCCUUUAGGCUUUAGGGGGGGUCAAGUGGUCCCGACGCCCCCAGUAUUCGUAUCUGUCAUUAUCACGUUGUCCAAUCGUUGCCCUCCACGUUCAUAUACGAAUCCAGUUUGGUGAUUGUGUUUGCUGCCAACCUUAUUUAAACAAUUUGAGUACGAUUAAGGGUUGUUCAGGAAUUUAUGUGAACAAUACUGGGGCCAAACUAUGAAUUUACAAAUCUUGUGGGGUCGGUUUAACACUUUAACAAACGGGGAGGGGUCCCGGGCGGAGGGAAGUGCAGUGUGAUUUGUACACGUGUUUGAGGAUGGAAGAAAUGGGGUGCCUAGAUAUUCCUUGGGCGUCAACGACGUUGACAGGUGGACCCACGUUUCAACAUCAUAAGUGAUACGUACUAGCAUUUGAUUGGACCACAACACCCAAGCCAAGCCGAAUAAAGUUGGAGCCUUCAAUUUAAAAUUAAAAAUAAAAGGAAAAAGAAAAAAAAAUCUUGGCUUAAUUCUCGUAAUUCACGAUGCAGG
rnacentral:lncRNA from 1 species